CAGAGUGAAAGAUAAACUUCCACCCAGGAAACACGUGUUCGUUCUUCGUGAGUGUUAAUCCAAACCACAAUCUUUUUCCUAAUCUUAACUAGUCGUUUUGGUGCCUGAAUUUAA